rnacentral:rRNA from 1 species
UACGUAGGGACCAAGCGUUGUUCGGAUUUACUGGGCGUAAAGGGCGCGUAGGCGGCUUAACAAGUCACUUGUGAAAUCUCCGGGCUUAACUCGGAACGGCCAAGUGAAACUGUCAAGCUAGAGUGCAGAAGGGGCAAUCGGAAUUCUCGGUGUAGCGGUGAAAUGCGUAGAUAUCGAGAGGAACACCAGAGGUGAAGACGGGUUGCUGGGCCGACACUGACGCUGACAGCGCGAAAGCCAGGGGAGCAAACGGG